GUCAGGAGUUAGGAAAUGCAGGGGUGUUAAUAGCGCUCUUGCUUGACUAAGGCUCCAGAGGAAGCCACGGCUAACUCUGUGCCAGCAGCCGCGGUAAUACAGAGGCGGCAAGCGUUGUUCGGAACUAUUGGGCGUAAAGAGCACGUAGGCGGCCUUGUCAGUCAGUUGUGAAAGCCUUCCGCUCAACGGAAGAAUGCCAGCUGAUACUACAGGGCUUGAGUACGGGAGGGGAGAGUGGAACUUCUGGU
rnacentral:rRNA from 1 species